UACGUAGGGUGCAAGCGUUGUCCGGAAUUAUUGGGCGUAAAGAGCUCGUAGGCGGUCUGUCGCGUCUGCUGUGAAAACUCAGGGCUUAACCCUGAGCUUGCAGUGGGUACGGGCAGACUAGAGUGCGGUAGGGGAGACUGGAAUUCCUGGUGUAGCGGUGAAAUGCGCAGAUAUCAGGAGGAACACCGGUGGCGAAGGCGGCCAGCUGGGUCGUCCCUGACGCUGAGGCGCGAAGGCGUGGGGAGCGAACGGG
rnacentral:rRNA from 1 species